UAAUACGAAGGGGGCUAGCGUUGUUCGGAAUUACUGGGCGUAAAGCGCGCGCAGGCGGUUCUUUAAGUCAGGGGUGAAAGCCCAGAGCUCAACUCUGGAAUUGCCUUUGAAACUAGAGAACUUGGGUACGGGAGAGGUGAGUGGAAUUCCGAGUGUAGAGGUGAAAUUCGUAGAUAUUCGGAAGAACACCAGUG
rnacentral:rRNA from 1 species